rnacentral:rRNA from 1 species
UACGUAGGGUGCGAGCGUUGUCCGGAAUUACUGGGCGUAAAGGGCUUGUAGGUGGUUUGUCGCGUUGUUCGUGAAAACUCAAGGCUUAACUCUGGGCGUGCGGGCGAUACGGGCAGACUGGAGUACUGCAGGGGAGACUGGAAUUCCUGGUGUAGCGGUGGAAUGCGCAGAUAUCAGGAGGAACACCGGUGGCGAAGGCGGGUCUCUGGGCAGUAACUGACGCUGAGGAGAGAAAGCGUGGGGAGUGAACAGG